rnacentral:rRNA from 1 species
AUUGAACGCUGGCGGCAGGCCUAACACAUGCAAGUCGAGCGGAUGAAGGGAGCUUGCUCCUGGAUUCAGCGGCGGACGGGUGAGUAAUGCCUAGGAAUCUGCCUGGUAGUGGGGGAUAACGUCCGGAAACGGGCGCUAAUACCGCAUACGUCCUGAGGGAGAAAGUGGGGGAUCUUCGGACCUCACGCUAUCAGAUGAGCCUAGGUCGGAUUAGCUAGUUGGUGGGGUAAAGGCCUACCAAGGCAACGAUCCGUAACUGGUCUGAGAGGAUGAUCAGUCACACUGGAACUGAGACACGGUCCAGACUCCUACGGGAGGCAGCAGUGGGGAAUAUUGGACAAUGGGCGAAAGCCCGAUCCAGCCAUGCCGCGUGUGUGAAGAAGGUCUUCGGAUUGUAAAGCACUUUAAGUUGGGAGGAAGGGCAGUAAGUUAAUACCUGGCUGUUUUGACGUUACCAACAGAAUAAGCACCGGCUAACUUCGUG